rnacentral:rRNA from 1 species
AGUGAACGCUGGCGGCAGGCCUAACACAUGCAAGUCGAACGGCAGCACAAGAGAGCUUGCUCUCUGGGUGGCGAGUGGCGGACGGGUGAGGAAUGCAUCGGAAUCUGCCCAUUUGUGGGGGAUAACCUCGGGAAACCGGGACUAAUACCGCAUACGACCUACGGGUGAAAGCAGGGGAUCUUCGGACCUUGCGCAGAUGGAUGAGCCGAUGCCGGAUUAGCUAGUUGGAGGGGUAAAGGCCCACCAAGGCGACGAUCCGUAGCCGGUCUGAGAGGAUGAUCAGCCACACUGGGACUGAGACACGGCCCAGACUCCUACGGGAGGCAGCAGUGGGGAAUAUUGGACAAUGGGCGCAAGCCUGAUCCAGCCAUGCCGCGUGUGUGAAGAAGGCCUUCGGGUUGUAAAGCACUUUUGUUGGGAAAGAAAAGCAGCCGGUUAAUACCCGGUUGUCAUGACGGUACCCAAAGAAUAAGCACCGGCUAACUUCGUG